rnacentral:lncRNA from 1 species
CAACUCGGGGUGUUCUCAGUUGAGAACACCUAGAAUAGAGUCCUUUGGACCCCAAUUUCCACUUAACUUGGCCAGACUCCAAACCUUGGAUUUUCUAGGGUUCAUACAGUCACUUUUAGGGUUCGACCUUUCAGGUCAGAUUCGAACCAAAACCUUGUUAGUUUAGGUACGAGAGAUGUUAGGGGAGUUCUUGGUAUUGAUUUGGGGUGAUUUGGUGUGAGUUGAAUCUGGGCUCGAAUCUUCAAAUGAAGAUUCAAGAAGGUUCUGUUUGAUUUGAGGUUAGGGGUUAGUGGAUUUGGCUUUAGGGGAGUGAUGGGGGUUCUGUGGUGUUAACGGGGUGACCGGCGGCGUCGUUGCCGCCGUGUUUCUGGUGCAAAUUGCCUAGAGGCGGCUAGGGUUUUGGGGUUCUGGUCUCUGAGGGGUUGAGAUGGGGAAGAAGAAUGAGGAGGGUAGGGUGCCUUUGGGGGGUGUGGGGUGGGUGAGUGAGUAUAUAUAUGGAUUAGGCCUGGGUCAAACGUGCAAUUGGGCCCGUUUUCUUUGCAAUCAGGGUGCCUUUAGGGGUGCGGGGUGAGUGAGUGA